ACGGAAGGCAGCAGUGGGGCAUAUUGCACAAUGGGCGAAAGCCUGAUGCAGCGACGCCGCGUGAGCGAAGAAGUAUUUCAGUAUGUAAAGCUCUAUCAGCAGGGAAGAAAAAUGACGGUACCUGACUAAGAAGCACCGGCUAAAUACGUGCCAGCAGCCGCGGUAAUACGUAUGGUGCAAGCGUUAUCCGGAUUUACUGGGUGUAAAGGGAGCGCAGGCGGUACGGCAAGUCUGAUGUGAAAGCCCGGGGAUCAACCCCGGUACUGCAUUGGAAACUGUCGAACUAGAGUGUCGGAGGGGUAAGUGGAAUUCCUAGUGUAGCGGUGAAAUGCGUAGAUAUUAGGAGGAACACCAGUGGCGAAGGCGGCUUACUGGACGAUCACUGACGCUGAGGCUCGAAAGCGUGGGGAGCAAACAGGAUUAGAUACCCUGGUA
rnacentral:rRNA from 1 species